CGUGGCACUUUUGCAACUGCAAUAUAACAUAUAAAAAAACAGCAAAUGCAAUAGGAUAUUUAUUUCACUUACUGGUGGACCAGGUAGGCCAUCUGUUCCUCUAGAUCCUGGUGGACCAGAGACCACGAAGAAGAAAGCAUGAUUACCUUUUGACCUUGUGCACUCAGAAUCGCUAACAAGAAGUCUAUCACUGACUGCUAUAGUACAGCAGUGGAAGAAGCUAGACAGUGAUGGGGAAUGUAUGCUCCCUGAGUUGACUACACCCCUGAAUUCUGGAUGGGACAGAUGAAAGAAUUGUUGGACUCUGGAUUACAUGUACCUUACACUUGAGUCAGAUCAAAAUGCUUGUUCUCCUCCAUCAAGGUCUGGCUCAGAAGAGAGUCCUGUCCCCCAGGCUUGAGAGGCUUUUUAAGGAAGGGCGUCCAGGAAUACCAUCACGUCCUUGAUUACCCUUUUCACCAACUGAUCCAUCACCACCUGGUACCCCACUUGGCCCUGGGGAUAAUAAAUAUUAAAAGUUACAGU